UCCAGACUCCUACGGGAGGCAGCAGUGAGGAAUAUUGGUCAAUGGGCGAGAGCCUGAACCAGCCAAGUAGCGUGCAGGAUGACGGCCCUAUGGGUUGUAAACUGCUUUUAUAAGGGAAUAAAGUGAGCCUCGUGAGGCUUUUGCAUGUACCUUAUGAAUAAGGACCGGCUAAUUCCGUGC
rnacentral:rRNA from 1 species